rnacentral:misc_RNA from 1 species
GAAACUCAGGGAGAUGCACGACAGAAUAGUAGUGGCUAUUUCGAAACAGACAGGCGCUAUGCUCGCCAACCAAACCAAGGAACUGCAAUGGCAGGUGGAAACAAUACUGGAGGCAAGCAACCGUCUUCUACAUCUAGAUUUGGAGCAAAUAUUCAUAGUAUUCAUACACUGAAGCAUGACGAUGAUGACGAACGAUUCAAAGGUAGGAAUUCCUUUUGGAAUGGUAAUUCUACUG